AAAAAAUAAAAAAUAAAAAAAUUUUACAAGAAAAAAUAUAUAUAUAGAGAGAGAGAGACAUACAGUCUCAGCCCACUACCACCACCAUUAUCACAGCACCUGGACUGUGAGGAGAUUAGAGGCAGCUGAUGACUGUCCCAGAAGGAGCCGAAAGUGCUGAAGGACAGACAUCCUGAGGAAAUGGGGCUGGCAGAGUGGACCUGGCAAAUGGUUUGGAUAAUGAGCGCCUAGGCUACCAUCACUUUCUUACAGAGGAAGUGAUUCAUGCACUGUUUUGUCCUGCAGGAGUUCCGGCAAACACAACUUUC
rnacentral:lncRNA from 1 species